rnacentral:lncRNA from 1 species
UGGCUGCUUAUGUAUCCAAGAAAAACACAAAGACUUUUUUUUUCUUUUCCAACUGUUGUUGUUACCACUUGGGUACAGGAAGGCUCUCGCGAUAAACAAAUGUGCUACAGAAUCCAGAAUAUUUCAAACAUAGGAAUUAAUAACACCCAGCAAAACACUAAGACCCAAAUGCACUCCCAAGGUGGACUCCAGUAUUUCACAGCGUGGUUCUUGUGCUCCAAAUGAAGCUCACACGCUAAGCCCCCUCCAUCUGGAAACAGAAACUGUGGGUCACAGGCGUUUCCACAGUUAUAUUGUCCAAGGGGCACUAUUUCUUCUUGAGAGCUCUCUUUCCUUCGCCCUUCUUUGGUUUUUCCUUUCCACGGAGCUUUUUCAAUCGCCUCAUCUCCUCUUUGAAGUCUUGAUGCUCAUCUCUGUAGAGACCAAGAAAACGGAGUUUCUUCAUGAGGGCAUAGUAAGUGUUGUGAGGAGGAUACCAGUCGUACACCUCUUUCCUUCUGGCUAUGGGCUGCUCACUGAAUAACUUUACAACUUUCAUGGAUUUGGAGUCAGUUGGCCUGACAACUUCGCCAAAUAUCUGAGCACUCAGACGGGCCAUUCGAAGGGCAUAACUGGAAACGUUGGACAUUUCCCAAAGAUGAGUGGGCACACAUAGACAGUUGGACCUUCCCCUCACAGCCCCGCA